rnacentral:ncRNA from 18 species
GCCGGACGCCAGCGACGGCGUGGGGUCGUACGACCCCAGGGAGGAAGCCCGGUGCAAAUCCGGCGCGGUCCCGCCACUGUGAACCCGGCAGGUGCCGGGUGAGUCAGGAACUCCCGCCGUCCAUACGACCACCC